AGCAGCCGCGGUAAUUCCAGCUCCAAUAGCGUAUAUUAAAGUUGCUGCAGUUAAAAAGCUCGUAGUUGAAUUUCGGGACCAUCAUGUCGGUCGUGCCUCGGUACGUACUGGCAUUGUUGGUUUCUCCCUUCUGACGAACCAUGAUGUCAUUUAUUUGGUGUUGUGGGGAAUCAGGACUGUUACUUUGAAAAAUUAGAGUGUUUAAAGCAGGCUCACGCUUGAAUACAUUAGCAUGGAAUAAUGAAAUAGGACGUUUGAUUCUAUUUUGUUGGUUUCUAGGAUCGACGUAAUGAUUAAUAGGGAUAGUUGGGGGCAUUAGUAUUCAAUUGUCAGAGGUGAAAUUCUUGGAUUUAUUGAAGACUAACUACUGCGAAAGCAUUUGCCAAGGAUGUUUUCAUUAAUCAAGAACGAAAGUUAGGGGAUCGAAGACGAUCAGAUACCGUCGUAGUC
rnacentral:rRNA from 1 species